rnacentral:rRNA from 1 species
UCAAGCGAACAAGGGCGCAGGGCGAAUGCCUUGGCACUGGGAGCCGAUGAAAGACGUGAUAAGCUGCGAUAAGCUUCGGGGAGCUGCAAAUAAGCAUUGAUCCGGAGAUUUCUGAAUGAGGAAACUCACCUGGGUUCAUACUCAGGUACAAUACACUGAAAUUUAAAAUAGGUGUAUUGAGGGAACCGCCUGAACUGAAACAUCUAAGUAGGGCGAGGAAGAGACAUCAAACGAGAUUCCGUAAGUAGUGGCGAGCGAACGCGGAAGAGGGCAAACCGAGAGUAGAAAUACUUUCGGGGUACGGACUGCUUUUAAGACUUAAUCUGUUAACCGAACGGCAUGGGAAGGCCGGUCAGAGAGUGUGAGAACCACGUAGGUGAAAACGGAGAGAGCUGCGCAGGAUCCAGAGUACGGCCAGACACGUGAAACCUGGUCGGAAUACGGGGGGACCACCCUCCAACCCUAAAUACUACCCAGUGACCGAUAGCGUAUAGUACUGUGAAGGAAAGGUGAAAAGCACCCCGGGAGGGGAGUGAAAAAGAACCUGAAACCCUGUGCCUACAAGCACCUAGAGCGCGUCAAUGCGUGAUAGGGUACUUUUUGUAGAACGGUCCGGCGAGCGAUUGUAUGCAGCAAGGUUAAGGACUUAAGGUCUGGAGCCGAAGCGAAAGCGAGUUUGAAAAGGGCGUUAAGUUGCAUAUAAUGGGCCCGAAACCGGGUGACCUACCCAUGGUCAGGUUGAAGUGGAAGUAAAAUUCCAUGGAGGACCGAACCGACCUCCGUUGAAAAGGCGGCGGAUGAACUGUGGGUAGCGGAGAAAUUCCAAUCGAACCCGGAGAUAGCUGGUUCUCCCCGAAAUAGUUUUAGGACUAGCCUCAAGUUAGAUACCUGGAGGUAAAGCACUGAAUAGCCUAGCGGCCGAGAGGUUAGCGAAGCUUAUCAAACUCAGAAUGCCAGAGUAUUGAUGCUUGGGAGUCAGACAGUGUCAGAUAAAUGUCAUUGUCAAAAGGGAAACAGCCCAGAUCUACAGCUAAGGUCCCAAAGUCAGGUUAAGUGGAAAACGAUGUGAAGAUACGCAGACAACCAGGAUGUUGGCUCAGAAGCAGCCACUCAUUCAAAGAGUGCGUAAUAGCUCACUGGUCGAGCGUCUUUGCGCGGAGAAUUUAACGGGGCUAAACCUGACACCGAAGCUUAGGCAAUACAGCAAUGUAUUGGGUAGGGGAGCGUUGUAUACGCGGAGAAACAGUAGCGUAAGCGGCUGUGGAGUGUAUAGAAGUGAGAAUGCCGGAAUGAGUAGCGCGAAUGCAGUGAGAAUCUGCAUGGCCGAAAGCCUCAGGUUUCUGGAGGAAGGUUCGUCCGCUCCAGGUUAGUCGGGAGCUAAGGUGAGGCCGGAAGGCGUAGCCGAUGCACAGACGGUAGAGAUUCCGUCACCACCAAAAGAGUUAAGCACAGGGACACAUAUGAAGUCUCAGAGCCGGGUGUUGGUUCCGGUAGAGAUCGAGGGAAGUUAGUACCGAAGUCUGAGAUGGAAGAUGGCGAGAAAAGCUGUGUGUAUUUCUGAGGUGCCCGUACCGCAAACCGACACAGGUAGGUAGGAAGAAGAUUCUAAGGCCAACGGGAGAAGGGUUGUUAAGGAACUCGGCAAAUUGACCCCGUAACUUCGGGAGAAGGGGUGCUCCAGAGAUGGAGCCGCAGAGAAUCGGCCCAAGCAACUGUUUACCAAAAACACAGGUUUGUGCUAAAUCGAAAGAUGACGUAUACGAGCUGACGCCUGCCCGGUGCUGGAAGGUUAAAAGGAGAUGUGCAAGCAUUGAAUUGAAGCCCCAGUGAACGGCGGCCGUAACUAUAACGGUCCUAAGGUAGCGAAAUUCCUUGUCAGGU